rnacentral:tRNA from 1 species
UUUUAUAUAGUUUAAUUAAAACAUUAUAUUUUCAAUAUAAAAUUAAUAAAAUUUUUAUUUAUAAAUA